GCCACCCUGGGUCCUCACCGCGGCCGCCAGCAUUGGCGUGCGGGUGUCGGGGAGGAGGCGGCGCCCUGCUGCGGUGCGGGCGAGAGCGAGGGCGGCUCGCUACGGCAGAGGCUAGCACAGUUCCUGCGAGGUGCAAUCAAGGGACCCCGCAGCCUAGAUGAUACUUGGGGCCCCACAGCUGCGCACGCUGGCCUGGGGACGCGCUCUUUGGGCGCGCCCUCGUGCCCAGGUGAACCGCGACCGCGACUCUUCUGACAGCAGUGGUAACACUAAUGGGUCCUUUAAAAUAGUAUCACAGUUCAUGCCAAACAGUUUGACAUCGCGGGAGCGAAGUCCAGUGACAGACAGAAAUAGAGACGUCGAUGGCAGGUGACAAGGAGCCAGGGGUUACUUGGCCCUUCUGAGAAGGAGCAACGGCAUUCUACCUUCUUGGGAACUAGAUCCACUCUAAAGUUCCACGGGCAUUUCAGAGGACGACGACAGUGGGCAAGGCAGAAGAAAGAGCAGGCUCUUGUCCUUGCAUCCGAGGCCUUAUUUCUUGCAGCCACCUCUAUCCCUCAUUGGCGUGUGCUCUUUGCCCCCACAACACCAGGAACCUUGUAUAGUCACAGAUCCCGAUCCCUAUGCCUUGGACACUCAGGAGUGACGGGGGGGGGGGGUUGUUCCAAAGUCAGUUACCAGUUACCAGAACAAUACUGACAAUACCGGUGUUGGAUUUCACUUAGGACAUUGGAGGGUAUCUUAGCCACAUCCCUGGUCUGUUUUUAUUAGCCCACCUUGUGCACUUCCUGCUCCCUUUAUACCCAGCCCCGGUACUUCAGACCCUGCCUCCAUUCUUUUGUGACCUUGGGGAAAGCAGCUGUCCCCUCUUUCUGCUUCCCUAAUUCAAUCUGUCUGAACCAAGGGUUCUCCUGGGUUGUCCUCUGAAGAAAUAUACAAGAAGGGUCCUCUGCAGUCAGCGGGAGUCGCACUCACUUCGGGUUGCCUUCUGUGCAGAAGGCUUGUGUUCUACCUCAAGGUGGAGGUUGUUUCCUCAUUACCCUACUGUGUGUGGAAGGCAGCUUCAGGCUUACCACAGAGCCGUCCGUCAGAGGGAACCUGAGAAUCUAAGCCACGUCAGGCAAUUCUCCUGUACCAGUUUCUGCCAAGGCUUCUUUUUUACAUGCCAGAUGACCCCUGAGACCUACAUGCUGUGGCUGUACUGAUUUCUAUACCACCCACCCCCGCCCCUCCAUGCCUGUCCCUUACUCGCUCGGCUCCAGCGGCACCGGCUGCCUUGCUUUUCUCUUUGCCACCGGGCUUUUGCACACACUGAACCCGAGCCACUCUUCUCUCUGCAGUCUAAGGUACUGGUCCAACUUUCCCAUCUUGGCACACCUCCUUCCUCAGCUAGAUGACAUCCAUCCCUUCCCAGAACUGGUUCCCACUGGAUAGCCAUCUCCUGCUUAUCCCUUACUAAGGAGUAUGACACCUUACCCAGGAGUACUCCCAGAGUGUGCACAGCACUGGUCACAGGCUCCCACGUUCCAUGAGCAGCUGUGAAGGGAUAGCCAGGAGAAGGAGGCUCUUUGCUCUUUCAGGCCAAGACUCUGAGGAGAGUGAAGUGUACGGUGCCUGGGUUGCCUGUCAUGUGGCAGUAACUUAGGCAGGUCUAGCUUGUAUGAGCUAGUGAACACCACAUACCCACAGGGAGUUCAGUUCCAUUUCAGAUCUCCCAAGACUUUAGCGGAUUUCAACCAGGCAGCCAGGCUCGGCUGUACCAUGGGAAAGAUGGAGGUCCCUGGAGAUGAAAUUUCCAGCAUGGCAAAGAAUCUCUGUUUUGUUUUUCCAAGCCCACAGCGAUGAUGACCAUUUGUAUGCAGGGUUUCCUAUUCCAGGGUGUAAGGGAUCAUAAAGAGGAUCAUAGGAAGAUACUGCCCCACUGUGGGGAGAGUCUUCAAGCCCACUGUUACGGUUUGAACAAUGCUCCAUCUGGUGGUACUAUCUGGGAGGUAACGGGACCCUUAGGAGGCACAGCCUUGCCCGAGGGACGUGGGUCACUGUGGGAUGGAUGCCUCUGAAAGUCUAGGAAGUCUCCAGUCCUUUCCUGCUUCGUGACCACUAAUGUCAUCUUCCACAUGUUUGUGCCACCGUGAUGUUCUGCCCUCCACCCCGAAUCUGAGCAGCCAAGGAUUGAAAUCUCUGAAACUGUAAGUAGAAAUGAGCCCUCCCCCUUCAAUUGCCAUGCCAGGUAAUUACUGGAAGUCUGCUAAGCCCUUUGACACCUGUCAAGCUUCCAGGCUUCAUAUCUGAUAGCAUUAAGGUGGACGGGGAAGUCCCUUGCCAUCACAUAGUAGGUCUACAAAUUUUUCAAUGAAGCAUGUGGAUAGUGUGUGUUUAUUCAUGCAUGCGAAUACAUUCAUGUGUGCCUAUGUCUGGGUUAACAGUGACAUCACGUAUCAGAAAGCCCAGCACAGAAAGGUGAUGAGGUGAAAGGUGGUGGAUCAGUGGCUCCCUGUGGAGACAGAAGGGGUCAGAACCUGUCUGAGCCUACAGAUCAUUUCUGUCCUAUCCCUCUCACAGUUAACCCCAUGUGUCGCUUCCUGUAACAGUGCUGGUCAGAAAGAAGCCAUCUGGAUUUCAGUCUGGAUUGUCUCUUCCCGGCCUUGACCUUGGGCAGAUCGCUUAACUUUCCAGACAGCAAACAGAGCUGCUUUCUAACUAUUUCUCUGGGACAGCUGUGGGACUAACUGGGACGAUACGUGUCAACUUGACAGGAUUAAAAACAUCAUGGUGACCAGACUGUGGACAUGCUUGUGAGGGUUAGGUCAAUAGAGGUGGGUGACAUAGUAAAUGUUGGUGACACCAUUCCAUGAGCUAGAGCAUAAAAAGGAAAACACGGCCUGAGUACCAGGCAUCAGUGCUCUCAGGUUCCUGCCUGUGAAUGCAAUGUGACCAGCUGUCUCACACUCCUGCUGCCGCCAUGCCUUCCCCACCACGAUGGACUGUACCUUUGAACCAUGAUCUAAACAGGCUCUUCCUUAAGUGGUUCAUCACCAGGUAUUUUUGUCACAGCAAUGAAAAAGGCAACUGAUCAUAUAUGUGCAACACCUGAAAUAUUAUCUGGCAUUUAAUAGAUAUAUAUUAGGUAUGUCCUAUGGAAUGUCUACAAUAUUACCCAAUAGGUACUAUUAUUACAGAUGUAUUACAAUUAGAUUUAAAUGAAAUGGGGAAUAAGCAAACAUCAUGUUCCCAGGGAGUAGUGGGGGAAUAAGUAAAGGUCAUGGAUGGAACUGGUCCAAAGAUUCCCACCCUUACUUGGACCAUUGUGUAACUAAUAUUCCCCAUCUUUUCCCUUUGGAGGAUUCCCAGACACUGGAAUAUCAUCACCACCACAGGCAACUGUUACAGCGAACCUACUGUAUGCAGCACAAAACACAGCUGUGGGGCUAUGACGAGAUGCUUAAGACAUGGAGUAAGGCAAGAUGUGACAAGCAUUGCCAUCCAAUUCAUCUCCUCCAAGGACCUCAUUGACAGUUUGUAAAAAUAGGAGACUGGAGCCAAUUUCAGGGCAGCAAGCAAGAGUAACUUAUAUACAUGUGUAUAGCUCUGGAGUGGCAGUCAGGAAAUGAAAUAAAGAAAAUGAAUCUAAGAAUA